CCUACGGGUGGCAGCAGUGAGGAAUAUUGGUCAAUGGGCGCUAGCCUGAACCAGCCAAGUAGCGUGAAGGAUGACUGCCCUAUGGGUUGUAAACUUCUUUUAUAGGGGAAUAAAGUGCAGUAUGUAUACAGCGUUGCAUGUACCUUAUGAAUAAGGAUCGGCUAACUCCGUGCCAGCAGCCGCGGUAAUACGGAGGGUCCGAGCGUUAUCCGGAUUUAUUGGGUUUAAAGGGAGCGUAGGCGUGUUGUUAAGUCAGUUGUGAAAGUUUUCGGCUCAACCGUAAAAUUGCAUUUGAUACUGGCAUCCUUGAGUCCAGUAGAGGUCGGCGGAAUUCGUGGUGUAGCGGUGAAAUGCUUCGAUCUCACGAAGAACUCCGAUUGCGAAGGCAGCCUGCUGGACUGUAACUGACGCUGAUUCUCGACAGUGUGGGUAUCAAACAGGAUUAGAUACCCUAGUAGUC
rnacentral:rRNA from 1 species